CCUGCCCCUAGAGGCUUUGCAGGUGUGGCUACCAUAUCAGAUGUAUGUCACUGGGUGGCAAAGAAGGGAGAGGCUAUGUCUAUACUCAGUGUUCUUCUCUAUGAAUUUAUGAAUGAUUAGCAGCCUUACAUU